rnacentral:rRNA from 1 species
CCUACGGGUGGCUGCAGUGGGGAAUAUUGGGCAAUGGGCGCAAGCCUGACCCAGCAACGCCGCGUGAAGGAAGACGGCUCUCGGGUUGUAAACUUCUUUUACUAGGGAAGUGCAGAAGACGGUACCUCUUGAAUAAGCCACGGCUAAUUACGUGCCAGCAGCCGCGGUAAUACGUAGGUGGCAAGCGUUGUCCGGAUUUACUGGGUGUAAAGGGAGUGCAGCCGGGAAGACAAGUCAGAUGUGAAAUCCCGCGGCUCAACCGCGGAACUGCAGUUGAAACUGUUUUUCUUGAGUACCGGAGAGGUCACCGGAAUUCGUUGUGUAGCGGUGAAAUGCGUAGAUAUAAGGAAGAACACCAGUGGCGAAGGCGGAUGACUGGACGGCAACUGACGGUGAGGCGCGAAAGCGUGGGGAGCAAACAGGAUUAGAUACCCGUGUAGUC